rnacentral:rRNA from 1 species
UAAGCAUAUCAAUAAGCGGAGGAAAAGAAACCAACAGGGAUUACCUCAGUAACGGCGAGUGAAGCGGUAACAGCUCAAAUUUGAAAUCUGGCUCUUUCAGGGUCCGAGUUGUAAUUUGUAGACGAUGCUUUGGGUGUGGUGCCGGUCUAAGUUCCUUGGAACAGGACGUCAUAGAGGGUGAGAAUCCCGUAUGUGAUCGGUCGCCUUCGCCCGUGUAAAGCUCGUUCGACGAGUCGAGUUGUUUGGGAAUGCAGCUCAAAAUGGGUGGUAAAUUUCAUCUAAAGCUAAAUAUUGGCCAGAGACCGAUAGCGCACAAGUAGAGUGAUCGAAAGAUGAAAAGCACUUUGGAAAGAGAGUUAAACAGUACGUGAAAUUGUUGAAAGGGAAGCGCUUGCAACCAGACUUGGGCUGUCGCAAUCAUCCGGGGCUCGCCCCGGUGCACUUGUGGCGGCACAGGCCAGCAUCAGUUUCGGUGGUGGGAUAAAGGCCUUGGGAAUGUAGCUUCUUUCGGGGAGUGUUAUAGCCCUCGGUGCAAUGCCGCCUACCGGGACUGAGGACCGCGCUUCGGCUAGGAUGCUGGCGUAAUGGUUGUAAGCGACCCGUCUUGAAACACGGACCAAGGAGUCUAACAUCUAUGCGAGUGUUUGGGUGUUAAACCCAUACGCGUAAUGAAAGUGAACGGAGGUGAGAACCCGUUAGGGUGCAUCAUCGACCGAUCCUGAUGUCUUCGGAUGGAUUUGAGUAAGAGCAUAGCUGUUGGGACCCGAAAGAUGGUGAACUAUGCCUAAAUAGGGUGAAGCCAGAGGAAACUCUGGUGGAGGCUCGCAGCGGUUCUGACGUGCAAAUCGAUCGUCAAAUUUGGGUAUAGGGGCGAAAGACUAAUCGA